rnacentral:rRNA from 1 species
UCGAACGGCAGCACGGGGGCAACCCUGGUGGCGAGUGGCGAACGGGUGAGUAAUACAUCGGAACGUGUCCUGUAGUGGGGGAUAGCCCGGCGAAAGCCGGAUUAAUACCGCAUACGCUCUACGGAGGAAAGGGGGGGAUCUUAGGACCUCUCGCUACAGGGGCGGCCGAUGGCAGAUUAGCUAGUUGGUGGGGUAAAGGCCUACCAAGGCGACGAUCUGUAGCUGGUCUGAGAGGACGACCAGCCACACUGGGACUGAGACACGGCCCAGACUCCUACGGGAGGCAGCAGUGGGGAAUUUUGGACAAUGGGCGCAAGCCUGAUCCAGCAAUGCCGCGUGUGUGAAGAAGGCCUUCGGGUUGUAAAGCACUUUUGUCCGGAAAGAAAACCUCUGGGUUAAUACCCCGGGGGGAUGACGGUACCGGAAGAAUAAGCACCGGCUAACUACGUGCCAGCAGCCGCGGUAAUACGUAGGGUGCAAGCGUUAAUCGGAAUUACUGGGCGUAAAGCGUGCGCAGGCGGUCCGCUAAGACAGAUGUGAAAUCCCCGGGCUUAACCUGGGAACUGCAUUUGUGACUGGCGGGCUAGAGUAUGGCAGAGGGGGGUAGAAUUCCACGUGUAGCAGUGAAAUGCGUAGAGAUGUGGAGGAAUACCGAUGGCGAAGGCAGCCCCCUGGGCCAAUACUGACGCUCAUGCACGAAAGCGUGGGGAGCAAACAGGAUUAGAUACCCUGGUAGUCCACGCCCUAAACGAUGUCAACUAGUUGUUGGGGAUUCAUUUCCUUAGUAACGUAGCUAACGCGUGAAGUUGACCGCCUGGGGAGUACGGUCGCAAGAUUAAAACUCAAAGGAAAUU